CACAAAUGUCUCUCCAUCUGUAGGUUUUGCUAGACCCACAUAAGGACUUGAUGGUAGCGGCCCUUGGGUGCUCACAGGAGAAGAAGCCAUCUUAGCAUGUCAACCUGAAAUUUAGAGUCUAAGUAACAUCAGCCAGGCAACGUGGUGCACACCUUUAAUGUCAGCACUCCUAAGGCAGCAGCAGGAGGAUCUCUGAGUUUGAGGCCAGCCUGGUCUACAGAGCAAGGUCCCGAACAGCCAACUCUGUGUAAUGUCAUUGACUGAUAAUGACCAAUACUGCUUUCCCACACGGCUUUCCUGUGCUGGUCUUCCUUACGGCGUUUAUGCCCUGCUGUGGUACUGUUUGCACAGUGCGAGUUCCCUCUCAUAGUUAACAUUCUCUGGAAACACACUCACAGACAGUCCGUGUGGACCUACUAGUCCCCAAGGCGCUUCCCAAUCCAAUCAGGUUGACAAUCAAGAAGGACCAUUACUAUGAAGCGUAUUUCUGGAUGGACAAUGAAGCGAGACGUGGAAGAGAUGAGAGUAAAAAGGAAGAAAAGAGCAUAAGGUAGGCUCGAGUUUACGGGGUUUCUCUGGGGAGCCCUGGCUGUUCUAGAACUCACUCUGUCGACCAGGCUAGCCUUAAACUCACACCGAUCUGCCCGCCUCUGCCUCCCGAGUGCUGGAAUCAAAGGUGUGCGCUACUACGGCCUGGCUUGGGAGUCCAAGAAGCAGCCAGGGAAGCCGAAGCACAGAGCAGGUGAAGAGAGAUACCUCAAGGCUGUCCGCAGGACAACUGCCCUAUAUGUUCAAGAAACAAAGAGUCAACACUGAAGAGAGACGGGGAAGAGGAUUCAUGGAGGAGCUGCAGGUUCACCCAAGGUGAGGUAGAGACCUACCACACGGUUAGGAUUGAAGAGGCCUUAGUUGCAUGUGGAAAAGGCUCGCGGACGGCUGUUCUGAAAAAGGAUCUGAGGACUCAGAAGACAGCCACCUGACCCAGGAGGGAAUGCUUGGCUGCUCCUGACGGAAAGAGUACACACAGCGCCUCCUUCUGAAAGAGACAAUGUGGAAAGAGGAGGAGAAAGAGAGGUUUUAUGAUGUGGGUACCCAACAGACACUGCCUUCGUCAUGGUAAAUGUAGGCAGAGAUGCAUCAGAAGUAUGGACCCGAAGGAAUGACCAUCCAGAGACUGCCCCACCUGGGGAUCCAUCCCAUAAACAACCACCAAAACCAGACACUAUUGCAGAUGCCAAUAAGAGCUUGCUGACAGGAGCCUGGUAUAGCUGUCUCCUGAGAGGCUCUGCCAGUGCCUGACAAAUACAGAAGUGGAUGCUCACAGCCAUCCAUUGGACGGAGCACAAGGUCCCCAAUGGAGGAGCUAGAGAAAGGACCCAAGGAGUUGAAGGGGUUUGCAGCCCCAUAGGAGGAACAACAAUAUGAACUAACCAGUACCUCUAGAGCUCCCUGGGACUAAACCACCAACCAAAGAAAACACAUGGUGGGACUUGUGGCUCUAGCUGCAUAUGUAGUAGAGGAUGGCCUUGUCGGUCAUCAAUGGGAAGAGAGGCUCUUGGCCCUGUGAAGGUUCUAUGCCCCAGCAUAGGGGAAUGCCAGUGCCAGGAAGCAGGAGUGGGUGGGUUGGUUAACGGGGGGAGG
rnacentral:lncRNA from 1 species